AACUUUCAACAACGGAUCUCUUGGUUCUGGCAUCGAUGAAGAACGCAGCGAAAUGCGAUAAGUAAUGUGAAUUGCAGAAUUCAGUGAAUCAUCGAAUCUUUGAACGCACAUUGCGCCCUCUGGUAUUCCGGAGGGCAUGCCUGUUCGAGCGUCAUU
rnacentral:rRNA from 1 species